rnacentral:rRNA from 1 species
GACGAACGCUGGCGGCGUGCCUAAUACAUGCAAGUUGAGCGCUGAAGGUUGGUACUUGUACCAACUGGAUGAGCAGCGAACGGGUGAGUAACGCGUGGGGAAUCUGCCUUUGAGCGGGGGACAACAUUUGGAAACGAAUGCUAAUACCGCAUAAAAACUUUAAACACAAGUUUUAAGUUUGAAAGAUGCAAUUGCAUCACUCAAAGAUGAUCCCGCGUUGUAUUAGCUAGUUGGUGAGGUAAAGGCUCACCAAGGCGAUGAUACAUAGCCGACCUGAGAGGGUGAUCGGCCACAUUGGGACUGAGACACGGCCCAAACUCCUACGGGAGGCAGCAGGAGGGAAUCUUCGGCAAUGGACGAAAGUCUGACCGAGCAACGCCGCGUGGGUGGAGAAGGUUUUCGGAUCGUAAAACUCUGUUGGUAGAGAAGAACGUUGGUGAGAGUGGAAAGCUCAUCAAGUGACGGUAACUACCCAGAAAGGGACGGCUAACUACGUG